rnacentral:rRNA from 1 species
GCAUGCGUCGCAUUAGUUAGUUGGCGGUGUAACGGACCACCAAGACGACGAUGCGUAGGGGUUCUGAGAGGAAGGUCCCCCACACUGGUACUGAGACACGGACCAGACUCCUACGGGAGGCAGCAGUGAGGAAUAUUGGUCAAUGGGCGGGAGCCUGAACCAGCCAAGUCGCGUGAGGGAUGACGGCCCUAUGGGUUGUAAACCUCUUUUGCCGGGGAGCAAAGUGCCGCACGUGUGCGGUUUGGAGAGUACCCGGAGAAAAAGCAUCGGCUAACUCCGUGCCAGCAGCCGCGGUAAUACGGAGGAUGCGAGCGUUAUCCGGAUUUAUUGGGUUUAAAGGGUGCGUAGGCGGACGCUUAAGUCAGCGGUAAAAUUGCGGGGCUCAACCUCGUCGAGCCGUUGAAACUGGGUGCCUUGAGUGGGCGAGAAGUACGCGGAAUGCGUGGUGUAGCGGUGAAAUGCAUAGAUAUCACGCAGAACUCCGAUUGCGAAGGCAGCGUACCGGCGCCCAACUGACGCUGAAGCACGAAGGCGUGGGUAUCGAACAGGAUUAGAUACCCUGGUAGUCCACGCAGUAAACGAUGAAUGCUAGUUGUCCGGGGCGAUUGAGUUCUGG